rnacentral:rRNA from 1 species
UACGUAGGGUGCGAGCGUUAAUCGGAAUUACUGGGCGUAAAGCGUGCGUAGGCGGUUCGUUAAGUUCGUUGUGAAAGCCCCGGGCUCAACCUGGGAAUGGCAAUGGAAACUGGCGGGCUUGAGUAUGGCAGAGGGGGGUGGAAUUCCGCGUGUAGCAGUGAAAUGCGUAGAGAUGCGGAGGAACACCGAUGGCGAAGGCAGCCCCCUGGGCCAAUACUGGCGCUCAGGCACGAAAGCGUGGGGAGCAAACAGG